AGACAUUUGCCAUUGCUGGAUUGGGAUCUGGACUAACAGAAGCCAUUGUAGUUAACCCUUUUGAGGUAGUAAAAGUUGGCUUGCAAGCAAAUCGGAACACAUUUGCAGAGCAACCAUCCACUGUGGGUUAUGCAAGACAAAUCAUUAAGAAGGAAGGCUGGGGACUCCAGGGCCUCAACAAAGGAUUAACUGCAACUUUGGGACGACAUGGAGUUUUCAACAUGGUUUAUUUUGGCUUCUACUACAAUGUCAAAAACAUGAUUCCUGUCAAUAAGG
rnacentral:sRNA from 1 species